UCCUAAUUAAAACCUUAAAUUUGCAGCUGUUCAACAAUGGGAAUUUGGUGAAAAUCCAAAACAGACCCGCUACUGUAAAUAAUUCAGGUAAAAGAAUUUAUAAGUCAGAUACCAUGUUGAAUCUACAUAUUGAU
rnacentral:ncRNA from 2 species